rnacentral:rRNA from 1 species
UACGUAGGUGGCAAGCGUUAUCCGGAUUUACUGGGUGUAAAGGGAGCGUAGACGGCAGGGCAAGUCUGGAGUGAAAGCCCGGGGCCCAACCCCGGGACUGCUUUGGAAACUGCCAUGCUGGAGUGCUGGAGAGGUAAGCGGAAUUCCUAGUGUAGCGGUGAAAUGCGUAGAUAUUAGGAGGAACACCAGUGGCGAAGGCGGCUUACUGGACAGUAACUGACGUUGAGGCUCGAAAGCGUGGGGAGCAA